GAGUGACAAUGCCACAACAUUCCGUGGCGCUGCGUCCGUGCUGGCUGCAGAGGGUGUCAAAUGGCACUUCAUCGUUGAGCGCGCUCCGUGGUGGGGCGGCUUUUGGGAGCGGAUGGUGGGACUCACCAAGGCCGCUCUGCGACGCACCCUGGGAUCUUCACUGAUGUUGUGGGAAGAGUUGGAGACCGUUCUGUGCUCGGUGGAGUCAGCGAUCAAUGCGAGACCUCUAACGCCCGUCAGCGAUGAUCCCGAUGAUAUUCAACCGCUACGACCCGCUGACUUUCUGCACUGUGCCUUCGAACGGAGCGAGGCUGCCGGGAGGCAAUCGGAACAGCUGACGCGGAGGCGCCGCUACCAGCAGAGGAUCGUCACCAGCCUGUGGACUCGGUGGCAGCGCGAGUACCUUCGGAACUUGCGAGACUUCCGUCACAACGCCUCAAGAGUGGACCUCGAGCCGGCACCGGGCGAUGUUGUGCUGAUCGAGGGGGAGAGAUCAUCCAACCGGCUCGUCUGGACCACGGGCACAGUGAAGACCCUGCACCCUGGCCGGGACGGGCGGUCCCGGGCCGCGACCGUGCACACCCUCCGGGGGGACGUGCGGCGUCCUAUUCAGAAGCUGUACCUGCUGGAGGCGGCCUCUCCACCUGAGGAAUGAAUUCCACCCCGGGGGAGAAUGUAGAAUAUUCAAAGAGGAUUGUGAUUACUAACGGGAGGUGCGCAUUUAUUUAAGCUCUACAGAAAAAGAGUAUGUUUGUCAAAAGUAUGCGUGCAGCGAAUGUGUGUCACAAGAAAUUGAGAAUGUUAAGUGGCUAGAGAGAGCGAAUGAUUUUGGAGAGAAUAGAAAAAGCAUUUGAAUCGUAGACUUUUAUUUUUGAUAUUAAUUUGAGUAAUUUGAGUUGCUAGACACAGUGACGUAGCACAUUGAGUAAAAAUGAUAUUAACGUAAUUUGCUUAACUGAAGUUGAAUUGAAACCUUAAUAAGGCAAUCAUAAGUGGAAAGACUCAACAAGUAGUAUGCAGAGCUGGUGGAGCGGACCCGCCGUCCCGGCAGUAGGACAGCCGAGCAGGCGGUACAUUUCACCCGCAUUCUGAGAGCGCGCCUCUCCUACACAGCCAGCAAAAGACAGGUGCAUUUCUCUGAGGUCACUGCGCGUGCGGCAGCCGAGGUCGGCCUAACUCAUACCGACACGCUACGGGGGCGCGUCCGUCACGUGACCUCAGACAGCUGGCUGGCGGUGACGUCACUGCUGGCCGGCCGCAGCCGUCUCUGCACCCGUCAGAACGAGGGGGACGGUACCGUGUUCCGGGUACACCGGUACCGCACCCAUGACCCGUACUCGGUACCGACGUGGAUUCUGGAGACCCCGGACGGCCAGUUCGUCAGCAGCUGCGGCGGCACAGCCUCCUGCGUCUCGAAGGGGACUGGCCUGAGUACCGGAGACCAGGUUACGGUGGCCGACGCCAGGUGCCUCUUCAGUCGGCCGGCCGGGGCAGAUGGCAGAGUCACUCUGGAAACCCUCACAGCGGGUCAUAUCGGCCAGUACCUGUGCGUGGAGAACCGAGCGGUGCUGGUGCGGCCCGCCGAGCCGGGUCCAGAGGCCGUCUUCCAGCUGCACCAGGUGCACCAGCCGGACGUCUGAGGGACUGGUGUGCUGCUACAGAAGGCACCAGCCGCACCAACUUCCAGAGACUGCACUAACUGCGCAAACUAUCCAACCACCUCCUAUACUCAUCGCUACGAAGGAACAGUUACAUUCAUGUGUUGAUCAGCAUUUUGCUGGUGGGUUAACUUUGCUAAGAGCUUGCCUGGUCAAAAAGCUUAUUUUCCGACAAAGCGAGACAAAAAACAUGAAUCAUCAUUAGCAAUUAAACUAAAACCGCUGUCUGUCCGUCUGCCUGUUGUCUGCCUUUUCUUCCUCUGUCCGGCACGAUCCCCUCACAGCACCACACCACGUUGUCUCGCAUGGUUGUGUAUAUUUACACAUCAACACACGCCCGCCGCUCCCCGGUCCUCCUUCCCCGCCCGGGGAGGCGAGUCACGUGACACACGCUCCCCCACCUCCCCGGGUCAGGUCACCGGAGUCCAGUCGACCGGCAUAUGACUGUGAUUGCACAACUGAAGGCUGCCGGCACGCGACGCUGCGCCGACGCCGCCACGCUAAAAUAUAAAUAACUAGAAAUGAAUGAGAACUACGAAUACACUAUGUACAGUU